GCCUGGAUAGCUCAGCUGGUUAGAGCGUGGUGCUAAUAAUGCCAAGGUUGCAGGUUCGAUCCCUGUUUGGGGCA
rnacentral:tRNA from 1 species